AAUGUGUGAUUCCAGUUAUAUGUGGCACCUAGAGUAGUCAAAUGCAUAGAGACAAGAAGUAGAAGGGUGGUUGCUAAGAGCUGGAGGGGUGGGAAAU